rnacentral:miRNA from 1 species
CGAUGGAUCUGAUGGAUCCGAUGGAUCCGAUGGAUCUGAUGGACCUGAUGGAUCCGAUGGAUCCAUCAGAUCCACCAGAUCCAUCGGAUCCAUCAGAUCCAUCAGAUCCAUUUUU